rnacentral:miRNA from 1 species
AAUGACAGGACUAGCAAGACAC